rnacentral:lncRNA from 1 species
AUUAAUUGGAAUAAUGCUUUAUAAGUUCAUAUAAUAUAUUUGUGCUUAGGAGAUAUUAUAUUCAACAUUAGCAAUAGUAAUAUACACAUGUGACAAAUGAAUCAUAAAUUUGUUUUGUAGUUUUCAAACUUUUUUUCUUCUGAUUUUUAGUUUUUCAAAGCAAUUCUUGCUAGGUAUCAUUGAUUUCUUUGGCCUAAUUUCCCAAAUAUAAGGCUAAUUCUUGAAGUCUUGAUUAACAUGCUACUGCUUAUGGACAUUAUUAGCCUUUAUUAUAUUUGGUUUCCUUUUGCAAUAUUUUGUUAUUACCAUAAGUCUAGUUAUUUAUAAGCUAAAGAGCAAAUGAAAUUUGACUAGUUUUGAACUUGAAAUUGUCCAUGUUGAAUAUUUUCUCUUAAUCUCUGAUGUUCGGGUGAUAAACCUUGAAUGGGAUGGCGAGGAUAAUGGUUAAGAACAUUUUCUAAUUUUUGCUUGGAAAGCAAUUGAAGAAAAAACAAAAAAGGAGAAAAGGGAGGGUAAUAGAGAAUGGUAAGAUAUAUUGACUUUGGAAAAUUAAAUGAAAUUCAUUUCUCAUCCAUUUCAAACUUGGCCUAUUAUUGUCAAAAAUUAAAAGGAAAAGUGUUGUAAGUUAUAGUAAUGCUAGCGCAUGUGUUCUUAGGUGUCUACCUUUGACAUAGAGAUUCAACCAUUUUUUUAAAUGGGCCCAUGGUCAUCUUUGGCUCUUAAUCUUUUUCUCUAAUUAGAAAGGAAACUUCAUAAGCUGAGCAGUGGCAAUUUGCUGAUGACCCAAAGAAUAUGAUUUUAUGUUGGGAGUUGUUUGUUUUAGUUGGAUAAGCUAAACGAAAGUUGUUGUCUCCUUAAUAUGGACAUAUAGACUAUCUUGCACACUUGGUUUAUUUAGGGCAUUCCCUCUCCUUAUAGAUUCACAAUGUUAGUAAAAACUUUCUGAUUGUCUUUUGAAAAAUUGCUAAUCUUGUUUUGAAAAGUUUCUAAUUUUCUUUUGAAUUGAAUAAAACUCCAACUUGAUCCAUGAAUAAACUUGAUCUCAUCUUAGGCAUCAUUUGAUGCAUUUCUUGUUUUUAGUUGUGACCAAUUUGCCUUUUCAUGUCAAAUUGGCCCAUUUAUUUAACUGUAUCAAACUAACCCAUUUAUUUAGUCAUGUCAAAAUGACCUAUUUACUAAAUCAUGUGAAAACAAUUUGUUUACUCAAUCACAUCAAAACGACCCAUUUAUAUAAUUGCUUCAAAAUAAUCCAUUUACUUAAUAUUGUUAAUUAUCCGAUUACUUAAUCAUGUCAAAAUGAUUCGUUUACUUGAUCAUGUCAAAAUAAUCUGUUUACUUGAUCAUGUCAAAAUGACCUAUUUACCUAGGGGUCUCCAACGGUCGGGCCGGGCCGUAAAUAGGAGGCCUGCGGCCCAGCUCGGGCCGGGCCUAUGGGCCCGUUGACUGGUCAACGGGUCGGGCCGGGUCGGGCCAUGCUAAAAUGCUAGGUCCGCGGCUCGGCCUAUGAGCCCGCGGGCUGGCGGGUGGGUCAGGCCGGUGGGCUUUUUGAAUUAAGCCAAAAUGGCUUUCAAAAAAACCAAGGGAAGGGAGAGGGAGGGAUUCGAACCGCUCCCUUCAUGUUUAAACUUUAAGCUUCUAAUCAGCUAAACUACAUUCUUUUUAUGUUUAUUAAUUGAGUUAGUUAUAUAUAUAUAUAAAUAAAGUAUAUUAUUUUUAAAAAAAAAAUUAAAGGCUCCAACCCAUGUGAUCGUUGGAGCUAAGCCUCCAACGGUCACAUGGCCAAUUAUUUUGAAUUUUGAAUUUUUUUUUUUAACCUUCCUAUAAAUACAUUUUCUUCCUUUUCAUUUUUUCAUCAAAUUCUCUCUAUUUCUCUCACAUUCUACAAUAUUUCAAAUUCUUUUAUUUUUCCCUCAAAUUAUAUAAUAUUGUUGGUGGUGCAAAACAAGCAUUGGUGGCUCUAAGAGUUCAAAUUGUGGACCCUAGAUUGAAAUUUGAAGCUUUGGAUGAAUGGUUAACAAUUAUUUAUUUUAAUGACCAAAUAAAAAUUGAAGAAAUUAAAAAUGAAAUAAAUUCAUUAUUAUAUAAUUUAUAUAACUAUUAUAAAGAAAAAUAUGGUAAUGAUAUUAAUACUAUUAAAUUACCACCUACAUCUACAAACUCCUCAUCUUUUUAUAAAGAAGCUCUAGAAAUGUUGAAAAAUCGAAAAAAAACAACAAAUAGUUCUUCAAAUAAUACAUCUGAUUUAGAUAAAUAUCUUAAUACUGAUAUAAUUUCAUUUGAAGAUCAAAAAGAUUUUGAUAUUUUAAUAUGGUGGAAAUCACAUCAACACAAAUAUCUUGUGCUUUCUAUAAUUGCUCGUGAUGUACUAACAGUUCCUGUGUUUUUAGUGCAGGUGGAAGAGUUAUUAGUAAAAAACGAUGCAACUUAGCGUCAGACGUUAUUGAAGCAGGGAUAUGUGUAAAAGAUUGGGAAAUAGCAGAUAAAAGGAUGUACGAUUCCAUUCGAGAAACAGAGAUGCUUGCCAAUAUGGAAUCUUUAAAACUAUCAAGAUCUUCAUGGAUGCAUGAUAGUUCGCCAUCACCGCCAGAAAAUAAUGACUAAAUGUAUAUUAUAUUUUUAUUUUUAUUUUUUGUAGUUGAAAAAUACAGAUGAUUGACAAAUAAAUAGGUGUCAACCUAGUUGGGAUGUAUUUAUUUUGUAGUGAUGUAAAUUUUUCCCAUAUUUUCAAAUGUAAUUAUACAUUUAAUGAAUAAAAUUUUGAAAUGAAU